GGGUGCGAUCAUACCAGCGUUAAUGCACCGGAUCCCAUCAGAACUCCACAAUUAAGCACGCUUGGGCUAGAGUAGUACUGGGAUGGGUGACCUCUCGGGAAGUCCUAGUGUUGCACCCU
rnacentral:rRNA from 1 species